UACGGAGGGGGCCAGCGUUGCUCGGAAUCACUGGGCGUAAAGGGCUUGUAGGCGGUCUGAUAAGUCCUGUGUGAAAUCCCUUGGCUUAACCAAGGAAUUGCGCCGGAUACUGUCGGACUAGAGGCCGGGAGAGGGAAGCGGAAUUCCGAGUGUAGCGGUGAAAUGCGUAGAUAUUCGGAGGAACACCGGUGGCGAAGGCGGCUUCCUGGACCGGUUCUGACGCUGCAGAGCGAAAGCUAGGGGAGCAAACGGG
rnacentral:rRNA from 1 species